ACGUACACUCCUGCGGGAGGCAGCAGUGGGGAAUCUUGCGCAAUGGGCGAAAGCCUGACGCAGCCAUGCCGCGUGAAUGAUGAAGGUCUUAGGAUUGUAAAAUUCUUUCACCGGGGACGAUAAUGACGGUACCCGGAGAAGAAGCCCCGGCUAACUUCGUGCCAGCAGCCGCGGUAAUACGAAGGGGGCUAGCGUUGCUCGGAAUUACCGGGCGUAAAGGGAGCGUAGGCGGACAUUUAAGUCAGGGGUGAAAUCCCGGGGCUCAACCUCGGAAUUGCCUUUGAUACUGGGUGUCUUGAGUAUGAGAGAGGUGUGUGGAACUCCGAGUGUAGAGGUGAAAUUCGUAGAUAUUCGGAAGAACACCAGUGGCGAAGGCGACACACUGGCUCAUUACUGACGCUGAGGCUCGAAAGCGUGGGGAGCAAACAGGAUUAGAUACCCCUGUAGUCCCAUGAU
rnacentral:rRNA from 1 species